AUACCAACUAUAGGAAUCUAGACACAUUAAUUCACUUUUGAUAUCAAUAUGUGAAUUCUGUCAAAAUUUAUAAAUUAAUGCUAUAAUAAUUUAUCUGUACUAUCCAGAAGAAUCCAGGUUUGAUUGACUGCAAAAUAUAGCAAGACCACAGGUGGAAAACAUGAUAAGUCACAUUUCCUGUCUUUCAUUGAACAGUAAGUUUAAAAUUCAAUAUCUUGUCAAACAAUUCUAAAUUUAGAAUUGUUAACUAAAUCUUAGAACUAAACUUAGAAAUAAAACCAAAUGAAUAUAUAUAUUCAUUUGGUUUUAGUAUUAAAUAUGUAUUUUUGUCACUCAAAGCCAAACAGUCAGUAAAAAUGGACUUAUAUAUUUCCUGCAUGAUCUUCAUAUAAAUUGAUAGCAAAUGAAUAAUUAAAAAUAGUUAUAAAUAUAUAUAGUUAUGUUCAGUAGAAUAAUUAUAAAUUAAAAUUAUAUAUUAGCUUCAACAAUAAUAUUUUACUAUUUACUAUACACAUUUACUGCUUAAAUAUCUCUGCUUACAUUCCAAUAGGAACUCUUUCUAUUAAUUUAGAAAAAUCUUGUUAAUCUGACUUACAAUUUAAAAAUUGAAGAAUCUGAAUAUUUUAAAUGUCUUAUGUAUUUUUGUGUAUUAUGUUUUCCAUUUUCCAUAAAUGUAGAAACAUCUGUCUAAUCAUAAAUAACAAAAUAACUGUAGAAAAUUUACAUAUAAGUUUCUAAAAAUUAAUUCGAUUGUUAUAUUAUGCUUAAGUUAAUAAGUUAAUCUUAAGUAAGCUUAAGUUCAUGUACCUAUAAUGAUUACAAGUAAUCUUUUGCUCAGAAAUAUAAGUGUCAGUAAUAGCAAUAUCAUAAUAAUGAAAUAAUAGCAAAAUUAAUGUUACAAUUGUUACUCAUGAAAUAUUUAAAUAAUAAUAAUAAAUUCUUCCAACAAUAAGAACAAAUUGAUGAGAUAUAAUAUGACAAAAAUGUUUCACAAAUCAUUAUAUUUAUUCAUAUAUAUGAUUUAGAGGAUUACAAACCAUGGUAGCAAUAAGUCAAUUGAAGAAUCUAUAUUUCUUUUAAUUGGAAGCAUUAAACCAUUUAUCACUUGAUCUGGCCAAUGGCUAGUGUUUCGUUUGCACAUCAUUCGAUGAUAUCUCCUUUUUUUCUUAUUUUUUGUAAGCGCUUAACUAAUAUAUA
rnacentral:lncRNA from 1 species